CCAGAUUUGGACUUCACUUUUCUGGAGAUGAAUCCUUUUGCAUUGGUUGAUGGAAAGCCAUAUCCUUUGGAUAUGAGAGGCGAGCUGGAUGACACUGCUACUUUCAAGAACUUCAAAAAGUGGGGCAGUAUUGAAUUUCCAAUGCCUUUUGGAAGAGUUAUGCGUCCUACAGAGAAAUUUAUUCACGGGCUAGAUG